rnacentral:rRNA from 1 species
AUUGAACGCUGGCGGCAUGCCUUACACAUGCAAGUCGAACGGCAGCGGGGGAGAAGCUUGCUUUUCCUGCCGGCGAGUGGCGAACGGGUGAGUAAUACAUCGGAACGUGCCCUGUAGUGGGGGAUAACUAGUCGAAAGAUUAGCUAAUACCGCAUACGACCUGAGGGUGAAAGUGGGGGACCGCAAGGCCUCAUGCUAUAGGAGCGGCCGAUGUCUGAUUAGCUAGUUGGUGGGGUAAAGGCCUACCAAGGCGACGAUCAGUAGCUGGUCUGGGAGGACGAUCAGCCACACUUGGACUGAGACACGGCCCAGACUCCUACGGGAGGCAGCAGUGGGGAAUUUUGGACAAUGGGCGAAAGCCUGAUCCAGCAAUGCCGCGUGUGUGAAGAAGGCCUUCGGGUUGUAAAGCACUUUUGUCCGGAAAGAAAUGGCUCUGGUUAAUACCUGGGGUCGAUGACGGUACCGGAAGAAUAAGGACCGGCUAACUACGUGCCAGCCGCCGCAGUAA